GCCUGCGCGGGGGAAAAGCCGAGCGCGUGAGGGGCCACCUCCGGGGCCCACACCGCCCGCACUGCCGCGGGGCAGUCCCGUUCCGCCCUUUCCCAGCUCGUCAGCGUACUCAUCUAAGGUCAGGGGGUCCUCACGACCUUGUUACCCACACCCCGAGGAGAUCGCAGCACAGCACACACACCCCCGUACCGUAACGUCCGAGCUCUGGGAAAGAGGAGCACGCCCGCCCCGGCCACGCUUUUAUAGCAACGAUGCGGCCUGGUGACGUCAGCGCGCACGCCGCAGGCCUGCACCAAUCAGAAGGGGAAGCAUUCGAGACGACAGGUCGGGCCAGAGCGGCGAGCUGAGCUGGAGGACCGUGACCCCGUGGCCACGCGGGUCGCGGCGCACGCAAGCUAGGAAGGGGGAGGGGCGUCUCCCCCACUGUCCUGCUUGGGAUCGUCUUGGCGCUGUUUAUCGCCUGCAGCAACUUGACCUUUCUGGACAUCCAGACCACCAAGAAAGCACGUAGUAAAGCAAGACAAGGGACUUUUGGUUUCCCAGGGCAUUUAAAAGUUCUAUUCAUGUUACAGGGUGGUCUAUGACGUGCGCAACAGCAUGUCUAAAAAACCCACAAUGCACACAGCUCAAUUUUAAAAAUACUUCAUUUUGGUAACAAGUGCUGACCAUCAUCUGAGCCUUCAGGGUGGUAAUCUUUCUGCUGCUGGAGAGGCUUGCUGUUAGGGGUUAAUUGGACACGUAGGUCCUCAGGGUCAGGGUCCCCAACAAGAAAACACAGAGCCAGGACAGCUGAGAGAAAAACCGCACUAGCAUCCUGUUUCACAGCUUAGACAAAACCAUGAUAGCAUUCUGACUAGCAGCCUCUGCAGAAGCGACUUUUGCAAAACAUCCCGAAAUAAAACAAUUAACGUAAAACAUUGGUCACCAUCACAAGUUGAGGCAUUUAGUCUCCAGAUCAGCCCUAAAGAUCAUCAACAAGCAAACAACCCAACAGGUGAAUGGGUGCAUAAUCAAAACCCUGAUUGGGAUUUCUUAGCAGCCAAUCUACAGCAGACCCAACUCAGGAUGCUUAAGAUAGUUCCUCCAAGGAGCUUAUAAGAUCCCUAGACUUGAACUCCAAAACAGCGACCUUCUUGGGGUCCCUCCCUCUCUGCGAGCUUCGUACUAUGCUCAAUAGACUUGACUGCCCAUCACUCUUCGUUGGGUCUAACUCUUCAUUCUUCGAAGCAGUGUGACCAAGAACUGUGGGCACUAAGGGAACAAUCCUAUAAUGUUGUCUCCACCAUGUUGGUGGCUGCUACCUGGACAGGGUCAGGGAUGCUGAAGAUGGAGUGGCUGGGAAUACUCUGAAAAUAAGACAACAGUGAAGUUUGCCGCAUCAAUCGACUCUUCCUGUCCCAACUUCUCGGUGGCCGGUGAUGCUGUUUGCCAGCAUUUAACCGCAAUAGGACUGCUUUCUGUAGCUGCUUUCGAAAUUGGGAGUCGAAGCUCUAAAACUCUGCCGCUGCUUUACCAAGUCUGUUUGAUAGUCCAAAUCCUCAGUUGUCAUUUCAACAACGUGCACAGCAUCUUCUCCAGGUGUAGCUUCCGACUCAGGGAAACCCUCUCUUUGCUACUCCUUCAGAAGCGGCUCCUCGUCCGUUCGAGUUUGACCGCGAGCUUGCCGUGGUGCAGUCCCUUCUUCAGGCUCCACAGCAACUUCAGGUUCUCUUGCUCUUCCCACCACUCUGAUAGUGACUUCGUCCCUGAAGCCUUGAGCCCUUCAGAGUCACCCAUGAGGGUUGGAAUCCACUUCUUCCAAACGCCUGUUAAGGUGGGAGCUCUUCCCAUGAAUUACCAAUGUUCUUUUAUUUUUUUAAGUAGCCUCCAUAGGUGUAGAACUUGAACUCACCACCCUGAGAUCAAGACCUGAGCUGAGAUCAAGAGUCGGAUGCUUAACCGGCUGAGCCACCCAGGCACCCCAAAUCCCAAGUGCCCUUAAUGGCGUCUAGAAUGCUAAAUCUUCUCCAGAAGGUUUUCAGUCGACUUUGCCCAGGUGCAUCAGAGCCAUCACUAAGGCAGCUACAGCCUUGCAAAUCGUGUUUGCUCAUGCUAAGACCUGAAUGUUGAAAGGACGCCUUGAUCCAUGGGCUGCAGGACGGGUGUUGUGUUCGCAGGUGUGAACACAACAUUAAUCUCGUUGAACAUACCCAUCGGAGCCCAUGGGUCACCAGGUGCAUUGUCACCAGGGACAAGGAUGGUUGUUUUCCCUCUGACCAGUAGGUCUCAAGACUGGGCUUAAAAUAUUCAGUAACCAUGUUGUAAAGAGAUGUGCCGCCAUCCAGGCUUUGCUGCUGCGCCGACGGAGCCCAGGCAGAGGAGAUCGAGCAUCAUUCCCGAGGGCUCUAGGAGUCUCAGAGUGUCCCUGAGCACGGGCUCCAGCUUAAAGCCCCAACUGCCUUAGCCCCUGGCAGGACUUAGCCUGUCCUCUGCGGCUUUGAGGCCGGCACUGACUUCUCUCUAGUAAUGGGAGUCCUACAUGGCAUCCUCUGCCAGCAGGAGGCUGUCCCGUCCACACUGGAGAUCCGUGGUUAGUGCAGUCGCUGAGGCGGAUCACAUCAGCUGGCUCCGGGUAACUCGCGUCGGCUCCUCUGUCAGCACCAGCUGCUUCGCCUUACACUGUCCUGGGGACGGCUUCUUUCCUCCCACCUGCUGAACCACCUCUGCGGGCUUCAAACGGGUCUGCAGGCUCCACGCCUCCCUGGGCCUUCACAGAAUUGAAGGGAGUCAGGGCCUUGCUCGGGAUGAGCUCUUGCAAUAGUGUUCAGAACCUUAUCCUUUGUGCUUACAGCUGGGCCGUUUGGCACAACAGACCUGGCUUGGGCCUGAGAUUGGCCUUCGACCCGCCUUCCUCCCUAAGCUUAGUCAGUUCUCGCGCUGGAUUUAGAGGGAGAGACGUUCAUCUCUUCCUUUCACCGGACCCUGGCAGGCCACGGUGGGAGUAUUAACCAGCCUCAUCUCAGUACUGCCGGGUCUCAGGGAGCAGGGAGGCCCCGGGGAGAGGGCGCGAGACGGGGAACGGUAGGUUGAUGGGGCGUCGAGAACCCACAUUCAUUGUCUUAUGUGGGUGUGGUUUGUGGUGCCCCCAAAACAAUGAUGAUAGUGACAUCCAAGCUCACAGAUCACCAUCACACACACAUACACAAUAAUGAUAAUAAAGCUUGAAAUAUUGGGAUAAUUACCCAGAUCUGACCUAGUGAGACGAAGUGAGCAAAAGCUGUUGGGAAAAUGGCACCAGUAUAUUUUUGGAUGUGUCUGAAGCAUGUGUGUAUGUGUAAUGGCUCCUUGAAGCAUUUCCAUUGCAUUGGCCUUGGAGUCCUUGUCUGAAACAGUGUUGGUGGAGAGCUAGCAUCUAUGCACCUGCUCUUUUUCACUCCAAGGAGAUUUUCCUGGCUCUUGUUAUGAUGAGUGACCUUUUAAAAAAUUUUAAAAUUUCUUUUCUUUUUUCUUUUUUUUUAUUAUUUUAUUUAUUUUUAUUUCUUUUCAGCGUAACAGUAUUCAUUGUUUUUGCACCACACCCAGUGCUCCAUGCAAUCCAUGCCCUCCCUAAUACCCACCACCUGGUUCCCCCAACCUCCCACUCCACGCCCCUACAGAACCCUCAGAUUGUUUUUCAGAGUCCAUAGUCUCUCAUGAUUCAUCUCCCCUUCCAAUUUCCCUCAACUCCCUUCUCCUCUCCAUCUCCCCUUGUCCUCCAUGUUAUUUGGAUGAGUGACUUUUUUUUUUAAUGGAGACCUGGCGGGUUUGGAUGUGAUGUUUUGAGGGUCUGGAUCUUUUAUAUCUUCGGUCUCAGAGGCCUCUCCUGGCACAUUGCUGGGGUGCUGACUCAUUACUGCCACGUGGAAGGCACAGAGUCCAGGGGCCCCACGUGCCCUCCUGUGACCUCAGCUGUGUCCUUCCUGGGGUCUUCAUAGUCUGAGCCUGGCGGCCGAUUUUGCUCCACUUUUCAGAGUACUCAUGGGUCUUGUUUAUAGUCUGUGGGAGUUUCACCUGUGAACAAUGGGGUUCUGCAGGGAAACGGGUGUCCACUUCCUCUUGGCCCCAAACAGGACCUCCGAGAUGUAAUUGAUUUUUGUAUAUCGAUUGAUGUUUCAAGUGACGUGGCAUAAAUCCUUUUCAGAUUAGAGUAAUAGGUCUUUACCUUAUUUUGGAUAGUUCAUGCAUACAAUUUUGUGAUCCAUGAAUAAUCAUACUAUUUAUUUAUUCAUUCAUUCAUUCAGUUUCCAGAAGGAAAGAAAACAUUAUUAUUAUAGAAACCUAAGAGAACCCAAGUCAGGAUGCUUAAGAUAGUUCCUCCAAGGAGCUUAAGGAAGAGGAAUAGAAGAGGAAAUGAUUCCACACAUCGAUGAAGGUAAUAGUAGGCAACAAAUGAGAAUUAGGCAAAGUAACGUCGAAUUGGGCACUUACAGCACCCAGUCUCAUCAGCAGGGGGUGUCCAGGUGGAAACAGCCAGGCUGGAGUCCCUAGUCUAUCCAUUCAGUACUUAGCACGUUUUCCCCCCUUUACUUAAUUGGUUGGUUCUUCUCGUCAGAUUCUCAUGUCAAUUUUUGUUUUUUCAGGCCUGAUAAAACGGGCUGGGGAAGUACUCCAUCUUUCUCUAUUCUCAGGGGAAGCCUGUGUGAGUUCGGUAUGUGUAUGUGCACGUGUGUGUUCGUGUGUGCUACAUGUUCAUGCGUGUAGACAUGUCCACAAGUGUGCGUGUGUUCACAUAUUCACAAGUGUAGGUGUGUCCAUGUGCUCGUGUGUGUAUAUUUCACAAGUGCUUCAGUAUUUGGGGGCAUUCACCAGUGAAACUUUCCAGACUCAGUUCACCACUUUAGUGGGAAAAACUUUAACUGCAUACUCACUGCGUUUUACACACAGUGAUUCCGAUUUUCUAUUCAUCCUGGUGUCCGUUAGUUUGGUAACCUGUAUUUCUGAGGAUUUUGUCUGUUUCAUCUACCUUCUCUAAUAUUUUGGCAUAAAAUUGUUCAUAAUAUAAUAACAAUUAAUAAGAGUGAACAUAAUAAACUCUGUUAUCGAUUUAAA